rnacentral:rRNA from 1 species
CCCUUAGAUGUUCUGGGCCGCACGCGCGCUACACUGACGAUGGCAACUAGUUUUUCCUUCGCCGAAAGGUGUGGGUAAUCUUUUGAAACAUCGUCGUGCUGGGGAUAGAUCAUUGCAAUUUUUGAUCUUGAACGAGGAAUUCCUAGUAAGCGCGAGUCAUCAGCUCGCGUUGAUUACGUCCCUGCCCUUUGUACACACCGCCCGUCGCUACUACCGAUUGAAUGGUUUAGUGAGGACUCCUGAUUGGCGCCGCCGCCCCGGCAACGGAGCAGCGGACUGCCGAAAAGUUGUUCAAACUUGAUCAUUUAGAGGAAGUAAAAGUCGUAACA